GCUCGAUGAAAUGGCAAAGAUGCUUCAGGUAAAGGUUUGCCCUCACGCUGCAGUGUCCAGAUUCCCUUGGGGCCUCGAAAAUCAGGUAUGCCACACGAAGUUGAUAUUCCUGCACCUGUAAACACCACUAGAUGCUUACUCUUUUGGAUCAUCUUCACAAGGCGUUCAAUUUUCUCCUGCAAAACAUGGGAUGAGUCGAAGAAUUCAGUCAUUCCAACUUUACCCACAUCUUCUAUGAAGGAGAGCUUCU
rnacentral:misc_RNA from 1 species